AGCUUUUUGAAUCCGUGAGAAGGUUUCGUCAGGCAUCAACCCAUCAGGGCUGAUCAGACUUCCAAGAUAAGUGAAGUU
rfam:Schistosoma mansoni, Puerto Rico, WGS project CABG01000000 data, contig: 0171